GGUGCAAUUUGUAUUAUUCGGUGUAAAUUUUAUCCUUUUGUAAUACGCCGUCUCAUUGGUUGAUUGGUUAGGAGUAGCCAAUAGUAUGCGUUGUUAGGGAAGCGCUCGGCAUAAUCAUCAGUAUGGCGGACGAAGGAGACUUUGUAGAAUUGAGCAAGCCAAAAAAUACCUCAUCCCGCAUCUGGGGUCUGUUCCACAUGUACAGGACUGGUGGAGACAACAUGAGGAGGAAUUUCCUCGUCUGAGUAGGCUAGCUAAAGAAGUUCUGUAUAUCCCAGCCACAUCAUUUCCCAGUGAGAGAGUCUUCAGUGUUGCUGGGGACAUAGUUACAGCAACACGAAGCCGCUUAGCACCAGACUUGGUGGACACCCUUUUGUUUUUAAAAUAUAAUAUGUGACUCUAUUCAUUGGCUCCAGGAAGGAUUCAUUAAGGAGGAAAUAAGUUCAAAUAACUUUGUGAACGACAUUCAAAUUUCAUAUUGGCGAGAUGUAUUAUUUUGUUCAUAAGUUAAAACAGUUCAUAUGUUCUAGUCAUUGGUGUUCUAGUGAAUCUAGUCAUUGGUGUUCUAGUCACAUAGUAGCCCAAAGAAUGUAUUAGUAUGUAUCUAAUUAGUAUGUAAUAAGUAAAGUUAGAUUAUAUCAAAUAGGAAACAUUUAAAAAUGAUAAUGAACAUAUUACUGUAAAAUUUUACUUUUAACAUACUAGUCAAUAUAUUUUUUUCUAUAAAAUCAUUACAAUAAUUUUAGAAAAUAUUUCUAUAGUUAUCAUUAAAAUUAACACAUUGGUUGUUACAAAUUUGUUAUAUAAAAUAAUACAAUUCUG